GAGGUUAAGCGACUAAGCGUACACGGUGGAUGCCCUGGCAGUCAGAGGCGAUGAAGGACGUGCUAAUCUGCGAUAAGCGUCGGUAAGGUGAUAUGAACCGUUAUAACCGGCGAUUUCCGAAUGGGGAAACCCAGUGUGAUUCGUCACACUAUCAUUACGUGAAUACAUAGCGUAAUGAAGCGAACCGGGGGAACUGAAACAUCUAAGUACCCCGAGGAAAAGAAAUCAACCGAGAUUCCCCCAGUAGCGGCGAGCGAACGGGGAGCAGCCCAGAGUCUGAAUCAGCAUGUGUGGUAGUGGAACGGUCUGGAAAGUCCGGCGAUACAGGGUGACAGCCCCGUACACAAAAGUGCAUGUGUUGUGAACUCGAAGAGUAGGGCGGGACACGUGGUAUCCUGUCUGAAUAUGGGGGACCAUCCUCCAAGGCUAAAUACUCCUGACUGACCGAUAGUGAACCAGUACCGUGAGGGAAAGGCGAAAAGAACCCCGGCGAGGGGAGUGAAAAAGAACCUGAAACCGUGUACGUACAAGCAGUGGGAGCCUCUUUAUGGGGUGACUGCGUACCUUUUGUAUAAUGGGUCAGCGACUUAUAUUCUGUAGCAAGGUUAACCGAAUAGGGGAGCCGAAGGGAAACCGAGUCUUAACUGGGCGUUAAGUUGCAGGGUAUAGACCCGAAACCCGGUGAUCUAGCCAUGGGCAGGUUGAAGGUUGGGUAACACUAACUGGAGGACCGAACCGACUAAUGUUGAAAAAUUAGCGGAUGACUUGUGGCUGGGGUGAAAGGCCAAUCAAACCGGGAGAUAGCUGGUUCUCCCCGAAAGCUAUUUAGGUAGCGCCUCGUGAAUUCAUCUUCGGGGGUAAGAGCACUGGUUUCGGCUAGGGGUCAUCCGACUUACCAACCCGAUGCAAACUGCGAAUACCGAAGAAUGUUAUCACGGGAGACACACGGCGGGUGCUAACGUCCGUCGUGAAGAGGGAAACAACCCAGACCCGCCAGCUAAGGUCCCAAAGUCAUGGUUAAGUGGGAAACGGAUGUGGGAAGGCACAGACAGCCAGGAUGUUGGCUUAGAAGCAGCCAUCAUUUAAGAAAGCGUAAUAGCUCACUGGUCGAGUCGGCCUGCGCGGAAGAUGUAACGGGGCUAAACCAUGCCACCGAAGCUGCGGCAGCGACACUAUGUGUUGUUGGGUAGGGGAGCGUUCUGUAAAGCCGUUGAAGGCGUGUGCUGUGAGGCAAUGCUGGAGGUAUCAUAAGUGCGAAUGCUGACAUAAGUAACGAUAAUGCGGGGUGAAAAACCCGCACGCCGGAAGACCAAGGGUUCCUGUCCAACGUUAAUCGGGGCAGGGUGAGUCGACCCCUAAGGCGAGGCCGAAAGGCGUAGUCGAUGGGAAACAGGUUAAUAUUCCUGUACUUGGUGUUACUGCGAGGGGGACGGAGAAGGCUAUGUUAGCCGGGCGACGGUUGUCCCGGUUUAGCAUGUAGGCGGAGAUUCCAGGUAAAUCCGGAGUCUUGUUAACGCUGAGGUGUGAUGACGAGGCACUACGGUGCUGAAGUAACAAUGCCCUGCUUCCAGGAAAAGCCUCUAAGCAUCAGGUAACACAAAAUCGUACCCCAAACCGGACACAGGUGGUCAGGUAGAGAAUACCAAGGCGCUUGAGAGAACUCGGGUGAAGGAACUAGGCAAAAUGGUGCCGUAACUUCGGAGAAGGCACGCUGAUAUGUAGGUGAAGUGAUUUACUCAUGGAGCUGAAAUCAGUCGAA
rnacentral:rRNA from 1 species